UAGACCGAACUCCUUAUAACAUUAUUUAUUUAUGAGCAAGCACUUGGCGACAGGGGCAAGGAAAAACUGCCUGUUAAAAGGCAGAAACCUAGGACAGAUCCUUCGGCUCUAGGUGGGUGGUCGUCUGUCUCGACCAGUUGGGGUGAGAGAGAGAGAGAGAGAGAGAGAGAGAGAGAGAGAGAGCGAGAGA